rnacentral:rRNA from 1 species
UACAGAGGUCUCAAGCGUUGUUCGGAUUCAUUGGGCGUAAAGGGUGCGUAGGGGGCGUCGUAAGUCGGGUGUGAAAUUUCGGAGCUCAACUCCGAAACUGCAUUCGAUACUGCGGUGCUUGAGGACUGGAGAGGAGACUGGAAUUUACGGUGUAGCAGUGAAAUGCGUAGAGAUCGUAAGGAAGACCAGUGGCGAAGGCGGGUCUCUGGACAGUUCCUGACACUGAGGCACGAAGGCCAGGGGAGCAAACGGG